rnacentral:rRNA from 1 species
AAGGAUCAUUAAUGAAACUUCAAAGUCGGCCAAAGGUUGUUGCUGGUGAUUAUUCACAURUGCACGCCUUUGGUCGCAAAUCCACACACACCUGUGCAUCUAUGACUCGAGGUUGUAAUGACUGAGAGUAACUUUUAUACACUCUUGUAUGUAAUGGAAUGUCUUUUUGUGCUAUAAUGUACAAUAUAAACAACUUUCAACAACGGAUCUCUUGGCUCUCGCAUCGAUGAAGAACGCAGCGAAAUGCGAUAAGUAAUGUGAAUUGCAGAAUUCAGUGAAUCAUCGAAUCUUUGAACGCACCUUGCACCCUUUGGUAUUCCGAAGGGUACGCCCGUUUGAGUGUCAUUGUAAUCUCACUUCUACAACUUUAUUGUUGUUUGAAUGUGGACUUGGAUGUUGCCGUUUUAUCACGGCUCGUCUUAAAUGCCUGAGUGUACCCUGUUUUGCAGCGUAUCCAGUGUAAUAAACAUUUCACUAGAGUUGGUCGAAAGACCGCGUUGACUAUAUGGGCUCUAUGCUUCAAACCGUCUGCCAUGUGGACAAUUUCUUGACAAUUUGACCUCAAAUCGGGUGGGACUACCCGCUGAACUUAAGCAUAUCAAUAAGCGGAGGAAAAGAAACUAACAAGGAUUCCCCUAGUAACGGCGAGUGAAGAGGGAAAAGCUCAAAUUUUAAAUCUGGUGUCUUUGACUCCCGAGUUGUAAUCUAGAGAAGUGUUUUCCGUGUCGGACCGUGUACAAGUUCCCUGGAACGGGGCGUCAUAGAGGGUGAGAAUCCCGUAUAUGCCACGGACUACCGAUGCUCUGUGAUACACUCUCAACGAGUCGAGUUGUUUGGGAAUGCAGCUCAAAAUGGGUGGUAAAUUCCAUCUAAAGCUAAAUAUUGGCGAGAGACCGAUAGCGAACAAGUACCGUGAGGGAAAGAUGAAAAGCACUUUGGAAAGAGAGUGAAACAGUACGUGAAAUUGUUGAAAGGGAAGCGUUUGAAGUCAGUCGCAUCUGUUGGGGUUCAGCCUGGCUUUUGCCUGGUGUAUUUCCUUUCCGAUGGGUCAGCAUCAGUUUCGAYCGAGGGAAAAAGACAUUUGGAAUGUGGCUGUCUUCGGGCAGUGUUAUAGCCUUGUGUUGUAUGUCUCGGUUGGGACUGAGGAUUGCAGCGCGCCAUAAAUGGCCGGGGGUCGCUCCUCUCGACACGCGCUUAGGAUGCUGGC